rnacentral:ncRNA from 1 species
UCAGCCCAAGGCCAAGCUUAGGAGUGGCCAUCCAAGGUAAGUGCGGCCAUAGGUCGCCGCCACUCCUGUCCGAGAGGGCUUGGUCUUGGGUGGAGGA